rnacentral:rRNA from 1 species
UACGGAGGGUGCAAGCGUUAAUCGGAAUUACUGGGCGUAAAGCGCGCGUAGGCGGUUUGUUAAGUCUGCUGUGAAAGCCCCGGGCUCAACCUGGGAAUGGCAGUGGAUACUGGCGAGCUAGAGUGUGAUAGAGGAUGGUGGAAUUCCCGGUGUAGCGGUGAAAUGCGUAGAGAUCGGGAGGAACAUCAGUGGCGAAGGCGGCCAUCUGGAUCAACACUGACGCUGAGGCACGAAAGCGUGGGGAGCAAACAGG